rnacentral:hammerhead_ribozyme from 1 species
AUCCAGCUGAUGAGUCCCAAAAAGGACUAAACGUGCGUUCUGUAU